GACGAACGCUGGCGGCGUGCCUAACACAUGCAAGUCGAACGAAGCUUGACGAAUGAUUUCUUCGGAAUGAAAUCUGAUAUGACUGAGUGGCGGACGGGUGAGUAACGCGUGAGCAACCUGCCCUUCGGAACGGGAUAGUGUCUGGAAACGGACAGUAAUACCGUAUAACGUAUUUUUACCGCAUGAUAGAAAUACCAAAACUGAGGUGCCGAAGGAUGGGCUCGCGUCUGAUUAGAUAGUUGGUGGGGUAACGGCCUACCAAGUCGACGAUCAGUAGCCGGACUGAGAGGUUGAACGGCCACAUUGGGACUGAGACACGGCCCAGACUCCUACGGGAGGCAGCAGUGGGGAAUAUUGCACAAUGGGGGAAACCCUGAUGCAGCGACGCCGCGUGAAGGAAGAAGUAUUUCGGUAUGUAAACUUCUAUCAGCAGGGAAGAAAAUGACGGUACCUGAGUAAGAAGCACCGGCUAAAAUACGUG
rnacentral:rRNA from 1 species